UACGUAGGGGGCAAGCGUUAUCCGGAUUUACUGGGUGUAAAGGGAGCGUAGACGGCACUGCAAGUCUGGAGUGAAAGCCCGAGGCCCAACCACGGGACUGCUCUGGAAACUGCGGGGCUGGAGUGCAGGAGGGGUAAGCGGAAUUCCUAGUGUAGCGGUGAAAUGCGUAGAUAUUAGGAGGAACAUCGGUGGCGAAGGCGGCUUACUGGACUGUAACUGACGUUGAGGCUCGAAGGCGUGGGGAGCAAACAGG
rnacentral:rRNA from 1 species